UGAGUAACACGUGGGCAAUCUGCCCUGCACUUCGGGAUAAGCCUGGGAAACUGGGUCUAAUACCGGAUAGGACCUUUAGACGCAUGUCUUUUGGUGGAAAGCUUUUGCGGUGUGGGAUGGGCCCGCGGCCUAUCAGCUUGUUGGUGGGGUGACGGCCUACCAAGGCGACGACGGGUAGCCGGCCUGAGAGGGUGUCCGGCCACACUGGGACUGAGAUACGGCCCAGACUCCUACGGGAGGCAGCAGUGGGGAAUAUUGCACAAUGGGCGCAAGCCUGAUGCAGCGACGCCGCGUGGGGGAUGACGGCCUUCGGGUUGUAAACCUCUUUCACCAUCGACGAAGGUUCGGGUUUUCUCGGAUUGACGGUAGGUGGAGAAGAAGCACCGGCCAACUACGUGCCAGCAGCCGCGGUAAUACGUAGGGUGCGAGCGUUGUCCGGAAUUACUGGGCGUAAAGAGCUCGUAGGUGGUUUGUCGCGUUGUUCGUGAAAUCUCACGGCUUAACUGUGAGCGUGCGGGCGAUACGGGCAGACUAGAGUACUGCAGGGGAGACUGGAAUUCCUGGUGUAGCGGUGGAAUGCGCAGAUAUCAGGAGGAACACCGGUGGCGAAGGCGGGUCUCUGGGCAGUAACUGACGCUGAGGAGCGAAAGCGUGGGGAGCGAACAGGAUUAGAUACCCUGGUAGUCCACGCCGUAAACGGUGGGUACUAGGUGUGGGUUUCCUUCCUUGGGAUCCGUGCCGUAGCUAACGCAUUAAGUACCCCCGCCUGGGGAGUACGGGCCGCAAGGCUAAAACUCAAAAGGAAUUGACGGGGGGCCCGCACAA
rnacentral:rRNA from 1 species